rnacentral:rRNA from 1 species
UGUGUGUUAGUGGAAGCGUCUGGAAAGGCGCGCGAUACAGGGUGACAGCCCCGUACACAAAAAUGCACAUGCUGUGAGCUCGAUGAGUAGGGCGGGACACGUGGUAUCCUGUCUGAAUAUGGGGGGACCAUCCUCCAAGGCUAAAUACUCCUGACUGACCGAUAGUGAACCAGUACCGUGAGGGAAAGGCGAAAAGAACCCCGGCGAGGGGAGUGAAAAAGAACCUGAAACCGUGUACGUACAAGCAGUGGGAGCACAGAGCAAUCUGUGUGACUGCGUACCUUUUGUAUAAUGGGUCAGCGACUUAUAUUCUGUAGCAAGGUUAACCGAAUAGGGGAGCCGAAGGGAAACCGAGUCUUAACUGGGCGUUAAGUUGCAGGGUAUAGACCCGAAACCCGGUGAUCUAGCCAUGGGCAGGUUGAAGGUUGGGUAACACUAACUGGAGGACCGAACCGACUAAUGUUGAAAAAUUAGCGGAUGACUUGUGGCUGGGGGUGAAAGGCCAAUCAAACCGGGAGAUAGCUGGUUCUCCCCGAAAGCUAUUUAGGUAGCGCCUCGUGAAUUCAUCUCCGGGGGUAGAGCACUGUUUCGGCAAGGGGGUCA